AUAUAUUUUAUUUUGGUAAAUAAAUUUCUUUAUUCUUUUGAUUACAUGUAAUUUAUUUUCACUUGAUUGUUUUAAUAAUUAUGCAACAGUAAUUAUAAUUAAGCAAUAAAAGAAAUUUUGACUUAGAAAUUGGAUCUAAAUUUAACUAAUUUUGUGCCAGCAGUUGCGGUUAGACAAUUAAUUUAAGGAAAUUGUGAAGGCGUGUUAUUUUAAUUGUAUAAGAAAACUUAUAAAAGGUUAUAAGGUAAAAUUUUUAAUUUUUUGUAAUAAUUAUUUGUGAAAAUUAAGAAACUUUUUAAAAAAGGAGGAUUAGAUACCCUGUUAUUAAUGGUGUAAAUUUGCUAGAGUAGUAAAAGCUAGGAUCUAGAAACUCAAAAAAUUUGGCGGUAUUUUAUCUUUUUGGAGGAACCUGUUUAUUAAUUGAUAAUCCACAACUUAUAUUUACUUUUAUUAUUAUAUUUGUAUACCGCUGUCAUGAAUCUAUCUAUAAAUAUAAUUUUCUUUAUUUUUAUUAAAUAUAUGUUAGGUCAAGGUGCAAUUUAUAAAAGAAUAAAAUGGGUUACCAUAAAAAUUAUGAAUGGAAUUAUUUUUUUUAAUUUUAAUGUAAAAAGGAUUCAUAAGUAAGUUAAAUUAUAGUGUUUUUAUGAAUGGAGAUUCUAAAAUAUGUACACAUUGCCCGUCACUCUUGCCUAAAGUAAGAUAAGUCGUAACAUAGUAGGCGUACCGGAAGGUGUGCCUGGAAUUAAG
rnacentral:ncRNA from 1 species